UUUGAACUUGUCUAGCUACUGUAUGUUAAGAUCUAUACUCAAAUGGGCACUUGAUCUUAUGGCUUAGUUAGUUCAAUAUAAUUAUUUAGUAGUACCAGUAGAUGUAUUUGCUUAACCUGGUAUUCAGAAUCUUAUCUUUCCCUAAUGUUAGUCUCUAAUAAAUUGCCAUUUUCUUAAUUGAUCUAUUACAAUUAAUCUGAUAAUGGGCACUUGUAAUUUCUUUAAUCUGAUAAUUAAAAUAAAAAAUGUGUAAUGUACCUUGAACAUUCAGAAUUGAUGUUCAACUUUUGCAUUGUAAAGUCACAAGGAUUAUACGAGUUUAGGGAGCUUUGAUUGGGUUAUUGAAAAACUGAGUCUGAUAUCUGGUUGAUUGUUUUCCCUUAUAUUCAAUUUUUCAUUAAUUACUUCGACUCCUGUUCUUCACGUCAUCCUAUGUCUGGUUUCUUUCACUUUAAGGGGGAUUCUAUCUCUUGGAAAGUUCAGCUUAUUAGAAGUCUGAAGCUAAGGGGACUACAAAUUAAGCAAAUUGAAAAUCAUUUUUUUCUUUUCAAGGUCUUAAUAAAGUUCAUUAUUGGCUCAUGCUACAUAAAACUAAUAUGGUAUGGUAGUCAAAAUCUUAUAGACUUUUCUUCUGGAUGUGUUUCUUUGUGUUAGCUGUUCAACAAGACCGAUGGCC
rnacentral:lncRNA from 1 species